CGGACAAUUAUGAGAGAACGCCUGGAUAUUUCGUACGUCUUUCACAAAGACAAACAUGGACCCAAAAAUGUCAUAUAUGGGCUCAAAGUAAACUACCGGAAAUUAGUUGAAUUGAGCGUUUUCUAUCGCAGGGUCGACAAAGAGGAC
rnacentral:ribozyme from 1 species